AUACGUAGGGGGCGAGCGUUGUCCGGAAUGAUUGGGCGUAAAGGGCGCGUAGGCGGCCCGGUAAGUCUGGAGUGAAAGUCCUGUUUUUAAGAUGGGAAUUGCUUUGGAUACUGUCGGGCUUGAGUGCAGGAGAGGUAAGUGGAAUUCCCAGUGUAGCGGUGAAAUGCGUAGAGAUUGGGAGGAACACCAGUGGCGAAGGCGACUUACUGGACUGUAACUGACGCUGAGGCGCGAAAGUGUGGGGAGCAAACAGGAUUAGAUACCCUGGUAGUCCACACUGUAAACGAUGAAUGCUAGGUGUAGGGGGUAUCGACCCCUUCUGUGCCGCAGUCAACACAAUAAGCAUUCCGCCUGGGGAGUACGGCCACAAGGUUGAAACUCAAAGGAAUUGACGGGG
rnacentral:rRNA from 1 species